AUUGAACGCUGGCGGCAUGCUUUACACAUGCAAGUCGAACGGCAGCGGGGGCUUCGGCCCGCCGGCGAGUGGCGAACGGGUGAGUAAUGCAUCGGAACGUGCCCAGUCGUGGGGGAUAACACAUCGAAAGAUGUGCUAAUACCGCAUACGUCCUGAGGGAGAAAGCGGGGGAUCUUCGGACCUCGCGCGAUUGGAGCGGCCGAUGUCGGAUUAGCUAGUUGGUGGGUAAAGCCCACCAAGGCGACGAUCCGUAGCGGGUCUGAGAGGAUGAUCCGCCACACUGGGACUGAGACACGGCCCAGACUCCUACGGGAGGCAGCAGUGGGGAAUUUUGGACAAUGGGCGCAAGCCUGAUCCAGCCAUGCCGCGUGAGUGAAGAAGGCC
rnacentral:rRNA from 1 species